rnacentral:rRNA from 1 species
GUGGGGAAUAUUGGACAAUGGGCGCAAGCCUGAUCCAGCCAUGCCGCGUGAGUGAUGAAGGCCUUAGGGUUGUAAAGCUCUUUUGUCCGGGAAGAUAAUGACUGUACCGGAAGAAUAAGCCCCGGCUAACUUCGUGCCAGCAGCCGCGGUAAUACGAAGGGGGCUAGCGUUGUUCGGAAUCACUGGGCGUAAAGCGCACGUAGGCGGACCAUUAAGUCAGGGGUGAAAGCCUGGAGCUCAACUACAGAACUGCCUUUGAUACUGAUGGUCUCGAGUAUGGAAGAGGUUGGUGGAACUGCGAGUGUAGAGGUGAAAUUCGUAGAUAUUCGCAAGAACACCGGUGGCGAAGGCGGCCAACUGGUCCAUUACUGACGCUGAGGUGCGAAAGCGUGGGGAGCAAACAGGAUUAGAAACCCUGGUAGUCC